rnacentral:RNase_P_RNA from 1 species
UGCCGGACGGCCGCGCGGUAUCAUGCCGAAAGGUCAUACCGUGAGGAAAGUCCGGGCUUCACAGGGCAGGAUAGCUGAUAACGUCAGCCGCAGGCGACUGCCGGGAAAGUGCAACAGAAAUAAACCGCCGCCGCCUUUGGGCGGCGGCAAGGGUGGAAAGGCGAGGUAAGAGCUCACCAGUUCCCGUGGUAACACGGGUCCGCUGUAAACCCUAUCCGAAGCAACACCGCAUGGGGAUCGUUUGCCCGACACAUAUCCCCGGGUGGCACACGGCGAAAAGCCGUGGAGCGUUCCGGCGACGGGACGCAAAGACAGAUGGUCGUCCAAGACAGAACCCGGCUUACAGGCAGAGUU